rnacentral:tRNA from 1 species
GCCCGGAUAGCUCAGUUGGUAGAGCAGGGGAUUGAAAAUCCCCGUGUCGGUGGUUCGAUUCCGCC